rnacentral:rRNA from 1 species
UACGUAGGUGGCAAGCGUUGUCCGGAAUUAUUGGGCGUAAAGCGCGCGUAGGCGGUCCUUUAAGUCUGAUGUGAAAGCCCACGGCUCAACCGUGGAGGGUCAUUGGAAACUGGGGGACUUGAGUGCAGGAGAGAAGAGUGGAAUUCCACGUGUAGCGGUGAAAUUCGUAGAUAUUGGGAAGAACACCGGUGGCGAAGGCGGCUCUCUGGACCGACACUGACGCUGAGGCGCGAAAGCGUGGGGAGCAAACAGG